rnacentral:rRNA from 1 species
UACGUAGGGACCAAGCGUUGUUCGGAUUUACUGGGCGUAAAGGGCGCGUAGGCGGCAAUUCAAGUCACUUGUGAAAUCUCCGAGCUUAACUCGGAACGGUCAAGUGAUACUGCUUUGCUAGAGUGCAGAAGGGGCAACCGGAAUUCUUGGUGUAGCGGUGAAAUGCGUAGAUAUCAAGAGGAACACCGGAGGUGAAGACGGGUUGCUGGGCUGACACUGACGCUGGAGGCGCGAAAGCUAGGGUAGCAAACGGG